UAGAGAAGUCAAUGAUGGUUUUAUUCAUAUCGUCUGAACCUGUCUGAAGCAUCUCAGUGAUGCAAUCUCUGUGUGGUUCUGAGACUUCUCCAAGUAUGUUUUUCAGACCAGAUUUUGAAUAAGGGUUGGCAGCCUUAAAAAUAAAGGUUUGGCUGGGCGCGGCGGCUCACGCCUGUAAUCCCAGCACUUUU
ensembl:snoRNA SNORD91A small nucleolar RNA, C/D box 91A